rnacentral:rRNA from 1 species
AAACUUUCAACAACGGAUCUCUUGGUUCUGGCAUCGAUGAAGAACGCAUCAAAAUGCGAUAAGUAAUGUGAAUUGCAGAAUUCAGUGAAUCAUCGAAUCUUUGAACGCACAUUGCGCCCGCCAGUAUUCUGGCGGGCAUGCCUGUUCGAGCGUCAUUU